GCCACCAAGCUCGAACACUCAAGUUCUGAUACCACUUGUUGGCACUCCCUCACACACACACUACACCCUCUUGCUUGCAGGUGGAGGAGGAAGAUGAGAGGAAGAAGAAAGACUCAGGAAGAGCACACGAAAAUGGAGCUACUUAAAACUCUGAGCUGCAGGUGCUCUCCUCUUUAUAGACACACCGGUCAAGAUGAGAAUUUACAAGCCAUCUGCCGCCCAAGUCAAGGACCAGGCAUGGCACAACAGGAGCAGGAGCUCCCUCUACUGUACAAACAUUGAUGACAAGCAAGAGCAAGGGUAAUUAUCUAA